rnacentral:SRP_RNA from 1 species
UCAGCUUUUUUGUUUGCUUUAACAUUACUCUUUGUUGGUCUGCUAGUUUUGAAUUUAGAUUUUCAAGCUUGGGCUUUUGAACGUCAUCAAAACCAAUUAAGCUGGUAUAUUCGUCCUAUUUUAAUCCUUCCCAUCUUGUUUUUUGCCUAUCAUAGACGAAUCAUAGGGGUAUCGGUUAGCAUCUUGGCUCUUUUUACAAGCAUGAUUUGGUUUCCCGUGCCACAAUCAACUUCACCUUUAGUCAAGGAGUUUUUAACCUAUGAGAAAGAAUUUUUACAAGCAGGCUUGACAGCUAAGAAUGUGCUCUUUGCCUUUUUGGUUAUUAGUUUUUUUAUCGUCAUUGUUAGGGCAACUUGGCUACAUAGUUGGAAGUUAGUUGGUUUAAUUUUGAUUAUCACAGCCCUUUCAAAAAUUAUUUGGUCUUAUAUGGACAGUGGACAGGCGGGCUUGACUAUUGUCGUCCCAGCCCUAGUUGGUUUGAUGAUUUGCCUCUUAGCUCUUGCUUUUUGGCAAAAGAAAAAGUCAUAAGUUGGCAGUUUUUUUACUUUAUGCUAUAAUAGAUAUCGGAGCAACAGCUUUGCGUGAAGCGGGUCAGGGGAGGAAUCCAGCAGCCCUAAGCGAUGUAAGCUGUGUGCUCUAUUUUUUGUGUAAUA